AGCGAGCCGGAAGCGAGGUGGCCUCGACUCUGUGUUGGGAUUUGUCUCCGCCUCCAGAAAUCGAGAGGGCGGGAGGAGAACGCUGAAGUCUUGGGAUUUUUACCUCCUGUGUGAAACGGAGAGAAUGCAGUAUCGGAAAGGUGAAAUAAGGAAAGCCAGAUUUAGGCGUCCGAAUUUAACAGAAUAAUAGAUGAGAAUGCGGCCUGGCCAACGCUUUGAUUGCAGCCUUGUGAGACCCUGAGUGGAGGACCCAGAAAAACUGUGCCUGGAUUCCUGAUCCACAAAAACCAUAACUGCUCAUGAUGAAAGGAUUGUGGCAAAUGGCUCUCGCAUUUUGUUAGAAAGCAAAUGAAGAAUUUGUUGUUUCUCAUUAUUAGCUGUGUCCUAGGUUCCUGACUCCCCUCCAGACAAAUUUCACCUCAUAGGCGAGACUGAAUUUCUGGGAACAUGAAUCUGAUGUGGACCCUUCUUCUCCUCCUCCUCCUGGGGCCAAUUGUCUUCACUCCAGGCCUGCCCUUCUCAAGAAGGUGUACAGACAACCCCAGGUCAUGAGUCCCUGGAGGACACCACCGGUACUGUGACGUGAUGAUGAGGCGAGGGUGGCUGAUCCGGAGGGGUAGGUGCAAGCAGAUCAACACCCUCAUUCACGAGGAUUUGGCCACCAGAGCAGAUUUCUGAGAACUCCAUCUGUGCCCUGUACCAGCAGAGCAGCUCCUUGCAAAGCUGCCACAACGGUGCUCACGAUGUCAGCGUCACCGACUGCUUUGCCAAAGCAGGCAGCCGGCCCCCGCACUGCCACUGCUGUAAGAAGGACUCCACCAGGCCCAUCCGCGUGGGCUGUGAGGAGGGGGGCCCUGUUCACCUGGACGGCCAGUCUGCCCCCAGCCCUGACGUGGGAAGCCCAGUGACUUGCACCCUACACCUCCAGAUCUUUGAAGCCCUGCCAAAGUCUUCCCUGUAAACGCUUCUUCUCUCGCAUCUGGAUCCCUCAUUGUUCCCAGUCACGAGCAUCUCUCUCACAGCCUCUCCCCCGACCCUGACUCCACGCUCCACCCCACACUCCUGCCACGGAGUCGGUGUUUUGGGUGUAGGACAAGAUGCGGCUGGGGAGCUGGGGAGAAAGCCCUGCUACCUCGCAAAGGGAAUCUACCUCUGGAAAAGCCUUGCUCCCCUGGAGCGGCUACACAAGCCGGGCUGGCUGGGCUGAUUUGCCCACGAGCUGCUCUAAUAAGAACUCCCAAUGGCGCUGGCCCUGGGCAGCCCCGAGUGGCCCGCCUCGCAGGGUCCUCCUGCGGGUCCUUCGGCUCCCUUCUCCCCUGCGGGCUCCUGCGGAGGGGAUUUGGGACGACUCCCGUGAGGGAAACCUGCUUCCUUUAUAGAAACAGACCCCUGAUGCGGGGGACACAGCACGGGAAGGAGCCGCUACCUGGAGGAGAGGUGGCACGGAGCCGGGCGACUCCCACACCAAGCGGUCCCUUCGGCGUCUCUCGCCGGCGCCGCCUCAACUGGCCCGCAGGGGGCGCUGCGCCACCUGAGACCCCGGGCCAAACAGAGACCAGAGCUGCUUUCCGGGUUCCUCUCAAGACAGGGAGAGAUGGGUUGGAAGCUUCUUGGUUACCGACACGGCAAUGGAGGAUAACAGGUGAUUAAACAGAACAUUCAGCCAGCAUAAAUACAGCCUAACUUUCAAAAAAACAGAUUUCUGAGUUUACCAUAACUUUCACGCUCUCGUACUCUUUAGU